CUGGUGUGUUAAUACACUCCAUACUGUGUGCUAAUACCACUCCUACUGUGUGCUCAUACCACUCCAUACUAGGUGUUAAUACCACUCCAUACUAGGUGUGUUAAUACCACUCCAUACUAGGUGUGUGCUAAUACCACUCCAUUCUAGGUGUGUGCUAAUACCACUCCAUACUAGGUGUGUUAUACCACUCCAUUCUAGGUGUGCUAAUACCACUCCAUUC
rnacentral:lncRNA from 1 species